GCAUAUUAGUCAGCGGAGGAAAAGAAACUAACAAGGAUUCCCCCAGUAGCGGCGAGCGAAGAGGGAAAAGCCCAGCACCAAGGGCCGGCGGCGGCGUCCCCGCAGUCGUCCGGCCGAUGCGGUGUUCAGGAACUUCCAGAACCGUCGGGAGCCGAAUCUAAAGUCCUCAUGAAUGUGGCCCGAUUGCCCGAAGAGGGUGUCAGGCCCGUAGGAUAGGCGCCCGGUGGCCCACGGAAGCUUCCCUAGAGUCGGGUUGCUUGAGCGUGCAGCCCCAAGCAGGUGGUAAACUCCAUCUAAGGCUAAAUACGGAUACGAGACCGAUAGAGGACAAGUACCGCGAGGGAAAGUUGAAAAGAACUUUGAAGAGAGAGUUCAACAGUGCGUGAAAUCCUCCAGGGGGUUAAACGGAUGGACCUUCGAAGCUCGAGCCGCGCGCCGGGAUCAGCGUUCGUGCCUGCCCUGCCAUGGCCGGGCGGCGUCGGCUUGCCGGCGUCGUCCGCGCUGCGGCUGAGCGCGGGUGCGGGCGUGUAGUCCCGGAGCGGAUUCGUACCCUGCACGCGACUGGUUGGGCGUCAGACGGCUUCGGUUCUGCGGCGCUUCGGCGUCGUCGUCCGGACGCCCGGCGACCGACCGGUUCGUUCUAUCUGGAGUCCGCGGGACAAUCGUGGCGAGCCCAAAAGGCUGUCGGCCGCGGGGCCCGCGUCCGCGGACGCGCAGGGAGUAGGCGAGACCCAUCCGACCCGUCUUGAAACACGGACCAAGGAGUCUAACAUGUGCGCGAGUCGUAGGUUGAAAAAGACCGAAGGCGAAAUGAAAGUGAAGGCACUCGCGAGGGUGUCGAGGGGAGAUCCCUCUCCACCUAGGUGGUUUGGGCGCAUCCCCGGGGCGUCGCGCUCCCGCCGCGGAUGCGACGCACCAAGAGCGUACACGUUGGGACCCGAAAGAUGGUGACCUAUGCCUGGCCAGGUCGAAGUCAGGGGAAACCCUGAUGGAGGACCGCAGCGAUUCUGACGUGCAAAUCGAUCGUCGGAGCUUGGUAUAGGGGCGAAAGACUAAUCGAACCGUCUAGUAGCUGGUUCCUCCCGAAGUUUCCCUCAGGAUAGCUGGCGCUCAAUGCAAGGAGACGGAGUCUCAUCCGGUAAAGCGAAUGAUUAGAGGCCUUGGGGCCGUAACGACCUCAACCUAUUCUCAAACUUUCAAUGGGUGAGAAGCUCAGCUGAACUUGAUGUGCAGCAGAGAUUUCGGAUCCGAGUGCCAAGUGGGCCACUUUUGGUAAGCAGAACUGGCGCUGUGGGAUGAACCAAACGUUCGGUUAAAGCGCCUAAACGACGCAUAUUCCGGAUCCCACGAAAAGGAGUUGGUUGCUCCAGACAGCAGGACGGUGGCCAUGGAGGUCGGAACCCGCUUAGGAGUGUGUAACAACUCACCUGCCGAAGCAACUAGCCCUUAAAAUGGGAGGCGCUAUAGCGUUGUGCUUAUACCGGACCGCCGGACGUAGAGCUCGUCGGCCCUCGUGGUCGGCGCUGACACGCCGGCGAGUAGGGAGGUCGCACCGGUCGCGUUGAAGGGUCUGGGCGUGGGCCUGCCUGGAGCGGCCGGUGGCGCAGAUCUUGGUGGUAGUAGCAAAUACUCAAGAGGGAUCCUUGAGGCCUGACGUGGGGAAGGGUUCCAUGUGAACAGUGGUUGGACAUGGGUCAGUCGGUCCUAAGCCGAACCUGAAAUGGGUCCAUGACGAGCGCUUCGAAAUGACACAGGGCGUCACGGAGACGUGCGAGCUCGUGGAUAGGCGAAAGGGAAUCCCGUUCUCAUUCGGGAACCUGGUUGGGGAACCGUUCGAGCUCUCGGGUUCGUCGUGGUAACACGAAUAAACCUUGGGAAGCUGGCGGAGACGCCGGGAAGAGUUUUCUUUUCUGCUUAAGGGAGCAACGACCCUGGAAUUCUGUCGUGGAGAGAUAGGGUUAUGCAUCCGAAGAGCGUCGCAUUUGUGCGACGUCCGUGCGUUUCCGCCGGCCCAUGAAAACCAAGGGGAGGGCCACGUGAACGAUCCCACCAGACCGUACCGAUAACCGCAUCAGGUCCCCAAGGUAACAGCCC
rnacentral:rRNA from 1 species